UACAGAGGGGGCGAGCGUUGUUCGGAAUUACUGGGCGUAAAGAGCUCGUAGGUGGUUUGUCGCGUUGUUCGUGAAAACUCACAGCUCAACUGUGGGCGUGCGGGCGAUACGGGCAGACUAGAGUACUGCAGGGGAGACUGGAAUUCCUGGUGUAGCGGUGGAAUGCGCAGAUAUCAGGAGGAACACCGGUGGCGAAGGCGGGUCUCUGGGCAGUAACUGACGCUGAGGAGCGAAAGCGUGGGGAGCGAACAGG
rnacentral:rRNA from 1 species